GCCCGGAUGGUGGAAUCGGUAGACACAAGGGAUUUAAAAUCCCUCGGCGUUCGCGCUGUGCGGGUUCAAGUCCCGCUCUGGGUACCA
rnacentral:tRNA from 3 species